rnacentral:rRNA from 1 species
UUAAGCGACUAAGCGUACACGGUGGAUGCCCUGGCAGUCAGAGGCGAUGAAGGACGUGCUAAUCUGCGAUAAGCGUCGGUAAGGUGAUAUGAACCGUUAUAACCGGCGAUUUCCGAAUGGGGAAACCCAGUGUGUUUCGACACACUAUCAUUAACUGAAUCCAUAGGUUAAUGAGGCGAACCGGGGGAACUGAAACAUCUAAGUACCCCGAGGAAAAGAAAUCAACCGAGAUUCCCCCAGUAGCGGCGAGCGAACGGGGAGCAGCCCAGAGCCUGAAUCAGUAUGUGUGUUAGUGGAAGCGUCUGGAAAGGCGCGCGAUACAGGGUGACAGCCCCGUACACAAAAAUGCACAUGCUGUGAGCUCGAUGAGUAGGGCGGGACACGUGGUAUCCUGUCUGAAUAUGGGGGGACCAUCCUCCAAGGCUAAAUACUCCUGACUGACCGAUAGUGAACCAGUACCGUGAGGGAAAGGCGAAAAGAACCCCGGCGAGGGGAGUGAAAAAGAACCUGAAACCGUGUACGUACAAGCAGUGGGAGCACGCUUAGGCGUGUGACUGCGUACCUUUUGUAUAAUGGGUCAGCGACUUAUAUUCUGUAGCAAGGUUAACCGAAUAGGGGAGCCGAAGGGAAACCGAGUCUUAACUGGGCGUUAAGUUGCAGGGUAUAGACCCGAAACCCGGUGAUCUAGCCAUGGGCAGGUUGAAGGUUGGGUAACACUAACUGGAGGACCGAACCGACUAAUGUUGAAAAAUUAGCGGAUGACUUGUGGCUGGGGGUGAAAGGCCAAUCAAACCGGGAGAUAGCUGGUUCUCCCCGAAAGCUAUUUAGGUAGCGCCUCGUGAAUUCAUCUCCGGGGGUAGAGCACUGUUUCGGCAAGGGGGUCAUCCCGACUUACCAACCCGAUGCAAACUGCGAAUACCGGAGAAUGUUAUCACGGGAGACACACGGCGGGUGCUAACGUCCGUCGUGAAGAGGGAAACAACCCAGACCGCCAGCUAAGGUCCCAAAGUCAUGGUUAAGUGGGAAACGAUGUGGGAAGGCCCAGACAGCCAGGAUGUUGGCUUAGAAGCAGCCAUCAUUUAAAGAAAGCGUAAUAGCUCACUGGUCGAGUCGGCCUGCGCGGAAGAUGUAACGGGGCUAAACCAUGCACCGAAGCUGCGGCAGCGACACUGAUGUGUUGUUGGGUAGGGGAGCGUUCUGUAAGCCUGUGAAGGUGUGCUGUGAGGCAUGCUGGAGGUAUCAGAAGUGCGAAUGCUGACAUAAGUAACGAUAAAGCGGGUGAAAAGCCCGCUCGCCGGAAGACCAAGGGUUCCUGUCCAACGUUAAUCGGGGCAGGGUGAGUCGACCCCUAAGGCGAGGCCGAAAGGCGUAGUCGAUGGGAAACAGGUUAAUAUUCCUGUACUUGGUGUUACUGCGAAGGGGGGACGGAGAAGGCUAUGUUGGCCGGGCGACGGUUGUCCCGGUUUAAGCGUGUAGGCUGGUUUUCCAGGCAAAUCCGGAAAAUCAAGGCUGAGGCGUGAUGACGAGGCACUACGGUGCUGAAGCAACAAAUGCCCUGCUUCCAGGAAAAGCCUCUAAGCAUCAGGUAACAUCAAAUCGUACCCCAAACCGACACAGGUGGUCAGGUAGAGAAUACCAAGGCGCUUGAGAGAACUCGGGUGAAGGAACUAGGCAAAAUGGUGCCGUAACUUCGGGAGAAGGCACGCUGAUAUGUAGGUGAAGCGACUUGCUCGUGGAGCUGAAAUCAGUCGAAGAUACCAGCUGGCUGCAACUGUUUAUUAAAAACACAGCACUGUGCAAACACGAAAGUGGACGUAUACGGUGUGACGCCUGCCCGGUGCCGGAAGGUUAAUUGAUGGGGUCAGCGCAAGCGAAGCUCUUGAUCGAAGCCCCGGUAAACGGCGGCCGUAACUAUAACGGUCCUAAGGUAGCGAAAUUCCUUGUCGGGUAAGUUCCGACCUGCACGAAUGGCGUAAUGAUGGCCAGGCUGUCUCCACCCGAGACUCAGUGAAAUUGAACUCGCUGUGAAGAUGCAGUGUACCCGCGGCAAGACGGAAAGACCCCGUGAACCUUUACUAUAGCUUGACACUGAACAUUGAGCCUUGAUGUGUAGGAUAGGUGGGAGGCUUUGAAGUGUGGACGCCAGUCUGCAUGGAGCCGACCUUGAAAUACCACCCUUUAAUGUUUGAUGUUCUAACGUGGACCCGUGAUCCGGGUUGCGGACAGUGUCUGGUGGGUAGUUUGACUGGGGCGGUCUCCUCCUAAAGAGUAACGGAGGAGCACGAAGGUUGGCUAAUCCUGGUCGGACAUCAGGAGGUUAGUGCAAUGGCAUAAGCCAGCUUGACUGCGAGCGUGACGGCGCGAGCAGGUGCGAAAGCAGGUCAUAGUGAUCCGGUGGUUCUGAAUGGAAGGGCCAUCGCUCAACGGAUAAAAGGUACUCCGGGGAUAACAGGCUGAUACCGCCCAAGAGUUCAUAUCGACGGCGGUGUUUGGCACCUCGAUGUCGGCUCAUCACAUCCUGGGGCUGAAGUAGGUCCCAAGGGUAUGGCUGUUCGCCAUUUAAAGUGGUACGCGAGCUGGGUUUAGAACGUCGUGAGACAGUUCGGUCCCUAUCUGCCGUGGGCGCUGGAGAACUGAGGGGGGCUGCUCCUAGUACGAGAGGACCGGAGUGGACGCAUCACUGGUGUUCGGGUUGUCAUGCCAAUGGCACUGCCCGGUAGCUAAAUGCGGAAGAGAUAAGUGCUGAAAGCAUCUAAGCACGAAACUUGCCCCGAGAUGAGUUCUCCCUGACUCCUUGAGAGUCCUGAAGGAACGUUGAAGACGACGACGUUGAUAGGCCGGGUGUGUAAGCGCAGCGAUGCGUUGAGCUAACCGGUACUAAUGAACCGUGAGGCUUAACCUU